GACGUAGGGUGCGAGCGUUGUUCGGAAUUACUGGGCGUAAAGCGCGCGUAGGCGGCUUUGUAAGUUAGAGGUGAAAGCCUGGAGCUCAACUUCAGAAUUGCCUUUAAGACUGCAUCGCUUGAAUCCGGGAGAGGUGAGUGGAAUUCCGAGUGUAGAGGUGAAAUUCGUAGAUAUUCGGAAGAACACCAGUGGCGAAGGCGGCUCACUGGACCGGCAUUGACGCUGAGGUGCGAAAGCGUGGGGAGCAAACAGG
rnacentral:rRNA from 1 species